rnacentral:lncRNA from 1 species
AAAAAGGCAUUCGACAUAUUGAUUUAGCAGUUUUCAGAAGGAAUAUGUUGCUGAACCCGGUCCUGAUACAUGGAAAAUUAAGGAGUCUUAGUCUUUAUGUAUCGGGGUUGAUUCUUGAGUUGUAACUGUGAUGUAAUUCUAGUCUCAGUGAGUGAUAAACUGAAUUAGGAUUGUUGUCUUCAAGUUAGAGAGCUUAAAUACUUGAUAUCACUUUCCUUGGAGGAUUGUGAGGUUUGUUUUGAAUAGGGGUUAUAGUUUAUAAUUCCUAGAUUUCAGAAGUCUUGUAAUUUGUUUGUUGAGGCUUAAAGUUGUUUAGUGAAGUUGGGG